CUCUCGAUGUCAUCCUGUUACACAGGCAGGAAAUUCUGUUCACUUGGCUGUUGGGAAGACUUCUGCCCUGCGGUCACAAAACAACAAAUAAAACGAAUUGACCCAGAAGUUAGGCAAUCAAAGAAGAGCCGAAAUCGCUACUCGAUAAAGCCUGUCGAUUGAAGAAAGCGGACUAUCAUUCCUGCGUGGUGACCCGCAGGCUGGGAAGCUGGAUCUGUGUUUGUCUAAUUACUUUGGAAACACACACAGCCCUGGAUGAAUCAACCACACAAAUGAGUGUUGGAGGAAAGUUUAUAAACAUGAAGCAGGAUGGAGAGCUGAGGAAAGGUCAGCGGCCUGGGACACAGCAGGAAGCCUGGUCAAGGCUCAGCGCUUCGGGAACUAUGAUGAUGAUCAGUCUUCUGCACAGCUUAAUAUUUUCAUCAGUGACAUCGACCACAGCUGGAAAUAAAGAAAGAAGAUGCAGGACAUCUCAUGAUGAAAAGAGCCACAGACCAUGCACUACUCAGAACAAGGAUCUUAUCAUGUCUAACUUUGUAUCUCCAAACUCAGCUAAAGCUUCCCCUUCAGUAAUCUCACAAGCAGACUGUGUGCACAAGAUAGCAUCUAAAGAAAGAUCAUGAGGAGUCAACAAGCCUGCAAGCAGUGGGAGAUGGUGAAGAAUCUGACCCCCUUUCUCAGUGAUUAACUGAGAUUAUUUCCCCUUUUCCCUU